ACCGAAUUAGCCGGAUCCUGAUUAGCGCGAUGAUAUCAUCUUGGAUGUGACAUUUCUUCUCGGAUAAAAUAAGCGACAUACGAAGAACGGGCCUCUGAUAUCGUGUGAUAUAACGUUAAUUAUGUUUUAUUUGUUAAUCUUUGUUGCCAUCAUGGAUUAUGGCUUGUUUUCUUUAAUUUAUGGCUCGAGACUGAAGAAAACACGACAACGUCACCGUGAUGCCUAUGUGAGGCAGAUUUCAUGUCAGAGGCACAGAGGUCAGCGCUGCACUAGACCUAC
rnacentral:lncRNA from 1 species